ensembl:lncRNA
CAUGUCCCUACCCUGGAUUUGCCAGGUGCUGACAGCUGUUAGUCAGACAUGUCAGUAUCAUACUGUUUCCCUGGAACCAGGCAGUCUCAUUGAGAAAUCCUUGUGCACCCUUCUCUGCCAACCUCCCACCUACCCCAGCAUCGCUGCCACCAAUGCUAACACCCUGGCAUCCUCUUCUUGGGCACCAGCACUCAGGCCGAGACCUGCUUCCUGACAAAGGUGUUUCCUUCCUAUCUGGCACAUCCCAGGCAGAAAUCACGUUUCAUAAUGUCUCUCUCCUUUUGUUCCCGGAUGGCUCCUUGCAGCCCAUGUCCCUGUUAGCACACCUGGACCAGAGCUGGCUCCCAGAACAACGGGAGAGACUUGCCAGCAAACUUGCCUAGGAUGUCUCUGCAGGAGGAGUCUUGGGACUGGGGCCUGUUUAGAAAUACCAGAGAUAAUGUGGGAAAAGAAAUGCCAAUGCCUCCUAUCCCAACAAGCCAGAAAACCGUGCUGAUCCUUAUAAAGAUGCCAGGCUUAAGGGGGUGGCAGGUGCCCCUUCUUGGUAUGGGUACUUUGCUCUGUGUCUCUUGUCCUGAUUGAAACAGGUUGUCACUGACCUUCUCAGGACAUUCACUACAUAGCUGGGGUCCAGCCACCUGAGGGACAUGGAAAGGCCGCCAUCGAAUGCCUGCAGCAUGAGAAGUCCCUCCCUCUGCUCUAUCUUUGUAAUCACUAAGAAUGUUGAUUCAUUAAAGUCCAAACUUCUGCUGGCACCAUCUUGGCCUCCCUGCCCUGCUUUGGCCUCUCAUGGUCACCUCCAUAAAAGCUCUGGGUGAGUCAGCAAUAUGAGAAAAAAAAGGAAAGAGGUGUGUUUCUGGCUCUCGCACACAUGACUCUGAGCAAGGAAGGACUGCAAACAAAGGCUUCGAGCUGAAACUGAAGGGUGUGGGAAGCUUCGCAGUGCCGGGCAAGCAAGGUUGAAGCAGCGUGUUCAGCAGGUCGGACAUGUGUACUUUCUUUCCAUUUAACAAUCAGAAAGGAACUAAGUCCCCACUGAACUGCAGGCAGCUUCUGAUGGUUCUUGUGGAAAAUGCCAGAGACGGUGCUAGGCAUCAAAAAACACUUGUCUUGGCUAGAGAUUGGAAUUCCUUCUUCCCCUGCACUGAAUUUUCCUUUUUGUCCCUCAGUUACUUGUGAUCUAAAACAUGUAUCCCUAUGUUAGCCUGCUUCAGUUGAUUUUGUAGAAGGUAGUUUUUGAGCUAAAGCAGCUGAACUCCAGAAGUGGAAUCUCCCUUCCAGCCAAGGACACACAUGGGGGUCAAAGGAACUUGAACCCCAUGGUGUGGUUGUGGCCUUGAAGCACCACCCUCCUGGGUGAUUCAGGUUGGCCCAAGAUGAUGUUAGCCUUCUCAUGCCUCCAUGGAAUGCUGCUAGAUCCGACAUUUUAACCAUGAUGCUGAGAACGACAACAUCUCCGAGGGUCAGGUGUCAGGGAAUCUGCAUCUGUGGUACAUUUUAUUAGUGUUGCUGUCAUCACAUUGAAAAGUCCUUAUUAAGCCAGUACGUCUGUCUCAGUGGUGCUGUGGUAAGCAGUGUGUAAGGAGAACUACACGAAGGCAAUUCCCAUUUCGAUGGGCACAAAAGGGAAGCUGGAGGGAGACACAGCAUGACAAAUACUGACCUGCCCCAGUGAGAGGGGAUUAGGAGCUGAAGAAGAAUGGGGGUGUGGGGAGUCAUUCAGUGGUAGAGAGGGCUCAGUCGCUAGCACCAAAGGAAGAGGAAUUGGGG